GGGAGUAUGGCGUAAUUGGUAGCCGCGCCAGACUUAGGAUCUGGUGACGUAAGUCGUGGGGGUUCGACUCCCCCUAUUCCCA
rnacentral:tRNA from 1 species